rnacentral:rRNA from 1 species
CUCAAGCUGCAACCCUAUGCACGAACUUCAGUCGCCAAUCGCCCGUGCUGCAAGCUGGCUUAUAAGUUCUUCGGACCAUUCAUCGUCACCGAGCGUGUGGGCACGCUCACUUACCGGCUUCAACUUCCUCCAGACAGCCGCAUCCACCCAGUGUUUCACGUGUCCCAGUUGAAGCCUUUCGUUCCUGACUAUACACCAGUCUUUGAUGAGCUUCCUAAGGUACCAGAUCUUGCAGCCCACGAGUCACAACCACUAGCAAUUUUGGAUCGCCGCAGGAUGAAGAAAGGAGACGCGCCGGUCAUCCAGCUGCAGAUUCAGUGGGAGAACAUGCCAGCCUCAGCAGCAACCUGGGAGGAUUACUCGGUGCUUCGCCAACGUUUUCCAGACGCAAGCAUUUGGGCAGAAGCAACCUCUCAAGGGGGGAACAAUGUCGCGCCUGCAUAUGCCCUUAGUCAACAUAUGCAGCGGACUGAACAAGUGCAGGUUCAGAGUUGCAUCUGA